UGCCAGCCGCCGCGGUAAUACGGAGGGGGUUAGCGUUGUUCGGAAUUAUUGGGUUUAAAGGGUCCGCAGGCUGUUUGUUAAGUCAGGGGUGAAAUCCUACCGCUCAACGGUAGAACUGCCUUUGAUACUGGCAAACUUGAGUUAUUGUGAAGUAGUUAGAAUGUGUAGUGUAGCGGUGAAAUGCAUAGAUAUUACACAGAAUACCAAUUGCGAAGGCAGAUUACUAACAAUUAACUGACGCUGAGGGACGAAAGCGUGGGUAGCGAACAGGAUUAGAUA
rnacentral:rRNA from 1 species